AAAGGGAGACCUAAUUCCGGUAGGAGACGAAAAAAAAGUAGUCCCUACCAAGAAUCAAUCCCAAAAGGUCGGAACGAGGUAUGAGGCUUUCAAACUAGGUUCUGGGUUCAUAAAAGACCUGAAUCAGGAACAAGGGCUAUUAGCUCAGGUGGUUAGAGCGCACCCCUGAUAAGGGUGAGGUCCCUGGUUCGAGUCCAGGAUGGCCCACCUGCACAGGUGGCAAAAACAAGAGAAGCGAGGAAUCAGCACCUUAUCUUGUAUACAUAUAUAAGAGAGAAUGCUGGCUCUGAGUACAGAGUCCAGAGGAACCUUGAAAACUGCAUAGAGCUAGGUGAAAAAGCCAAAAAAGAAGACCGCAAG
rnacentral:tRNA from 1 species